UUUAGAAACCUAAAAGACACACACAUUAGAUCCCUACCUAAAAAUUAGCCGCAAUACAAAAAGGAGAACCCUCCUCUCUUGAAAAGAACAAGGCCUCAUCCCUAAUCCUCUAAUCUUAUUCUUCUCCAAACAGAUAGCCACAAAACGUUACUGUGAAAUAAUCAUAUUCUCUUUGAAUUUCUUUUUUUUAUAGCUAUGUAAACUCACCACAGCAACAUCAUCUUCCCCGUUGAGCAUCACUUCAUUUUUCCUUCAUUAUUAAAGCCAUUUGCAUCUCUAGAAGUUAAAAAUCUCACUGCGAAUUCGCUCUCCAAAAGCCACCAUCCCUUUCUUUUAUUCCAUUAACACAGCUGAGUUUUUAUCAUCCUAUUACCACAAGACCCAGCAGGAAACAAAAAAAAAAAGAAAUUCGAGAUCAGGGUCUAUAGUUCCGUCUGAGGUUUUGGUGCGAUUCAUGUGUGCUGAUUUUACUUCACAUCGAAGGUCCUUGUGAUUUUUCUCUGUAUCCAGGUGUUCCAGAGGCUGAGUAAGAGCUUUCUAGUCGAUCAGCAUUAUCCCGGAGUAUCGAGAUCCAGGUGUUCCAGAGGAUGAGUGAGAGCUUUCCAGUCGAUCAGCAUUAUCCGGGAGUAUCGAGGUAGUUGCAUGGCGUCCUCAACCCUGAUUUCUCCCUUCCUUUCUAUUGUAUUCCGCAUUCCUAGACUGUUUGUGUAGUAGGCUGUUGAACUUGUGUUAGAGGCUCGAGACUUGUGACACCGGAUCGGUGUGGGCUAUGUAGUAGUAUUAUCUUUUGACUUCCGCAUAUUUAACUUGUUGUUUCAGAACCUUAUUAUGUUAAUUUGACAAUUAA